rnacentral:rRNA from 1 species
UACGGGGGGGGCAAGCGUUGUUCGGAAUUACUGGGCGUAAAGGGCUCGUAGGCGGCCAACUAAGUCAGACGUGAAAUCCCUCGGCUUAACCGGGGAACUGCGUCUGAUACUGGAUGGCUUGAGAUUGGGAGAGGGAUGCGGAAUUCCAGGUGUAGCGGUGAAAUGCGUAGAUAUCUGGAGGAACACCGGUGGCGAAGGCGGCAUCCUGGACGGAUACUGACGCUCAGGUUCGAAAGCCAAGGUAGCAAACAGG